GAGUCAGGGCCUGUGGAAAAUUUUCCAUGAGCUGUUUCACUUAAUUUCUACAGCCCCUGAUUCAGUAAGUAAGUAGUGAGAACUAACCCUGACAGCUUGAGUGUCUGCCAUGUAGGAGCCCCUGGCAGCGACCCUCUGAGACGAGGAAUCUGAGUGAGCGACCUGCCCACAGCCCAGGGCUGCCGACUGGGAUAAGGUCCAGCAGCCCGUCUCCGGUGCGCGGCGACCCGUCAGCUCUGCGCGGUGGGGAGCGCUUGCGCAGUGGGCGCCGAGGCGUACCGGGCGGUCGGCGAAGCUGAGGCGCGGCUACAGUGAACAACGGCGGGGCCGUGGAGAUGCCGCGAGGCGGGGGGUCUCCGAGCCGA